rnacentral:lncRNA from 1 species
GUCCUUACAGUCUUGCUUUUUGUUGCAGACUAGGCUGAAAUCAUCAAGGCAUUCACCGUUCUUGCAAACAAAUCCAUGGCACACAUUGGCUGGAAAAGGAAACAAGGAAAAUGAAAGAAAUAAAAGAGCAAUGGAUGAAGAAUGAGGGUUGGUCUAAAAUCUAACUCUUAAAUGAGAGAUGACUUUCUUAUCUGAGGCAAGUGGUGACGAGGAGAAUUCUUAUCUGACAUGGUCUUAUUUUAAAAUUUGGAUUUUUCAAGCUGACGAGAAUCUGCUCUUUGAACAAAUUACUUUCUGACAUCCUUGGAAUCCUGAAAUUAAAAGGCAUGUAGAGUUUUUUUUGCAAUUUAAAGGAACACUAAGCUACAGUUUUUACUGAAAUUUUUGGUGAAUUUUCUCCCCUCCUUCGAAAAAAUCACACAUAAUUGCAAAGUAACAUCUUGAUUAAUUUCUCUUGAGGAAAAUGAAACAAAUUUGGGGAUUUUUUAACAUUACAAUUGAGACACGCAUAUUCUACAUUUAUCAUUGAUAUGAAACUCCACAAAAUAAAAAUUGAUAGGGACACAGCAAUGCAAAAAUUCAAAAAUAAAAAUAAUUAUUCUUGGCCUGUGGCCAAUUAGUCAUUCAUUAGCACUAUUACGUAUGGAAAUUUUGGCGGUGAUGUGUCUUACAACCUUCAAGGGUUGAAAAACAGGAGUGAAAGGUGAAACAAUUAAACAGAGUUAAAAAAGAAUGAUGUAACUUACUACAGUCGUUUUCAUCUGAAUUGUCACCACAAUCAUCAUCCCCAUCACAGAUAUAAUCAUUCGGGAUACAGUGAUGAUUAUGAGGGCACUCCCACUCAGACGCUGCGCAAUGGCUCUGCAAAAACCAUCAAGUUGCAAAUUAUUUGCUAGAAAUGUUUUUACAAGAUAUGACUGUUAGGGCUUUCAAAUGGUGUAGUAAGGAAACUUGUCAA